GAUCCGGCUCAGGAUGAACGCUGGCGGCGUGCCUAACACAUGCAAGUCGAACGGACUUACAUUGAAGCCUAGCGAUAUGUAAGUUAGUGGCGGACGGGUGAGUAACGCGUGGGUAACCUGCCUUGUACUGGGGGACAACAGUUGGAAACGACUGCUAAUACCGCAUAAGCGCACAGCUUCGCAUGAAGCAGUGUGAAAAACUCCGGUGGUACAAGAUGGACCCGCGUCUGAUUAGCUGGUUGG
rnacentral:rRNA from 1 species